AAGUAUGAAGCAAAGGUUGCAACCAGUUUCGACCUGGUCAUAGAUAAAAAAUUAUCCUUACUUU
rnacentral:tRNA from 1 species